UACGUAGGGUGCGAGCGUUGUCCGGAAUUACUGGGCGUAAAGAGCUCGUAGGUGGUUUGUCGCGUUGUUCGUGAAAACUCACAGCUUAACUGUGAGCGUGCUUCCGAUACGGGCAGACUUGAGGUAUUCAGGGGAGAACGGAAUUCCUGGUGUAGCGGUGAAAUGCGCAGAUAUCAGGAGGAACACCGGUGGCGAAGGCGGUUCUCUGGGAAUAUCCUGACGCUGAGGAGCGAAAGUGUGGGGAGCGAACAGG
rnacentral:rRNA from 1 species